GGCUGGUACACAGAGCACCCGGACUUGAUAAGCAGUCUGGCUCUGAAUUCAAACUCCCAGCACCCCGGAUGCAAUGGCUCUCCUCCCUGAAUUUCACCCUGGACCACCCCCUGCACAUGAUUCUGAGGUCAGACACGGCGGAGAGGACAGCAUUCCCAAGGGUUCAGCCUUGUCUCUCAAACCCCCAAACUUCUGCAUGUGUGCUACCUGGUGGGGACAGUUAAAUGACACAGCCGACUGCUGUGACGUUAAGACAAAACUCAACACACCUGUUCAUGAGUUAGACUCACCACUGCACACAACUUCAUCUUUGUCAACUAAAACCUGGCCUGAUCCGCAGUGGGUGACCAGGAUGGGAUGCCUGAAUUGCAGCUGGAAACACACACUCUGUGUCCCCUCUGGAGAAAUCGCCCAACCCAAGCACCCUAAAAAGGAUCUAAAUAUAAGAUGGUCUUGUUAUUGUAAAAUGAAGCUGAAGAAAACCAGAAGCAUGUUUAAGGUUUUGAAAAGUCUCAUUAUGUUCAAAAUAGCCUGUGUUUGGUCCUAUAGAGUUUAUGAGCCUGAAAAUAAAGUUACAGGGCAUAAUAUAGAAGAGAUCUAAUCAAUAUCAUAUUCCAGGAAGCUUGGAAAUUGAAGGGAAAUCUCAUGUGUGCUGCUCAGGACUGCCAAAGCCAGGACAGGGCACAUGCAGAGGAAGUCAGAGCUUGUACUCAGCCCAGGUUACCUCAUCCAAGUGGAACACUUCUUCCAGGAGCCUGACUUCCCAGACGUGGACAACUCCUGCCCUACUCCUUCUCAUUUGUGUCCUUAUUUUUUAAUGGCAGGUGGGCUUCCCUGGUGGCUCAGACAGAAAAGCAUCUGCCUGCAAUGAGGGAAACCCAGGUUCGAUCCCUGGGUCAGGAAGAUCCCCUGGAAAAGGGAAUGGCAACCCACUCCAGGACUCUUUUUCUACAGUCCACAGGGUCGCAAAGAGUUGAAUAGGACUGAGUGACUUCACUUCAGACUCCAUGAGAAAUGGCUAGUUCUUUUAUCAUUUGGAAUGGGUUAAUGCAUCUCUAUCCUGUUUAAACAUGAGUAGUUAAUUAAUAUGGGGCUUCCCCCAGUGGCUCAGCAGUAAAGAAUCAGCAAUGCAGGAGAUGCAGGAACCAAGGGUUCAGUUCCUAGGAUGGGAAGAUCCUCUGGAGGAGGGCAUAGCAGCCCACCCCAGGAUUCUUGCCUGGAGAAUCCCAUGGACAGAGGAGCCUGGUGGGCUACAGUCCAUAGGGUUUCAAAGAGUCGGACACGACUGAAGCAACUGAGCACAGCACAGCAUAGCACAGUAAAUUAUUAAGAGAGAUUAUUUUCUGAAGACAAAGGGAGGAGAAAUGUCUCCUUUCCCUUCAUCAUAAAUGAUAACUUGAACCUCUGUAGAUCUGUCCACGUCCAAGCCCACCUCCAUCCCAACUUUUAAAACUUGGGGCUUUGGUGAAAGCCUAGAAGCAAGGUCCAAUGAUCACAGUUCCUAGAAAUAUGACCUUGGACGAGUCACUCCGUAAACCUCACUUUUCUCAACUGAUAGUGGAGACAGGUCUCCAAUCACAUAUUAUUCCCUUGGAGACCCCUGACCCAGCAACCUGAUCAAUGAUGACCUUAGGCCUCUAUUUAAAAAAUUUUUUCUUAAUCUGUUUUCUUUUUAGUCACUUACAGUGUACUGUAUUUCUGUGUGUUGAUUUGUUAAAAACAGAAGAUAAACCCUGGGGAUGCCACAUUCCCAUCUCUGGAAUAAGGCCUAAAUUUGACAAGAGCCAGUUUAAUGGUUGAAUUAUUAUUAGUCAACUGCUGGCCAUAUUUAGAGGAAAGAAAGAGGCUGGGAUAAAUUUAGGGAUGGCAGUGUGUCUGGCUGGAAAUUUUCUUGGGCUCCAAAAUCACUGAGGAUGGUGACUGCAGCCAUGAAAUUAAAAGACACUUGCUCCUUAGAAGAAAAGCUCUGACAAACCUAGACAGCAUAUUAAAAAGCAGAGACAUCAUAUUGCUGGCAAACGUCCAUAUAGUCAAAGCUAUGGUUUUUCCAAUAUGGUUUUCAACUCUUAGGAUGUGAGAGUUGAACUGCAAAGAAGGCUGAGCACCAAAGAACAGAUGCUUUCAAAUUGUGGUGCUGGAGAAGACUCUUGAGAGUUCCCUAGAUUGCAAGGAGAUCACAACAGUCAGUCCCAAGGGAAAUCAACCCUGAAUAUUCAUUGGAAGGACUGAUACUGAAGGUGAAGCUCCCAUACUUUGGCCACCUGAUGCGAAGAGCCUGACUCAUUGGAAAAGACCCUGAUGCUGGGGAAGACUGAAGACAAGAGAAGGGGAUGACAGGGGAUGAGAUGGUUGGAGGGCAUCACCAACUCGAUAGACAUGAGUUUGAGCAAACUCUGGGAGAUAGUGAAGGACAAGGAACCCUGGUGUGCCACAGUUCAUGAGGUUGCAAAGAGACAGACAGGACUUCGUGACCAAACAACAGCAAUGGUCAGAAGAGGAAUAAAAGCUUGCAAUGGACAAGUUUAAGUUUGGCU
ensembl:lncRNA